UGAGUAACACGUUGGAACCUGCCCCAAAGUGAGGAAUAAGCCACCGAAAGGUGGUCUAAUACUUCAUAAUAUCCAUCUCGUAUGGAUUAAAGCUUUAUGCGCUUUGGGAGGGGCCUGCGUAACAUUAGCUUGUUGGUGAGGUAAAAGCUCACCAAGGCUUCGAUGUUUAACUGGUUUGAGAGGAUGACCAGUCACACUGGGACUGAGAUACGGCCCAGACUCCUACGGGAGGCAGCAGUAAGGAAUCUUCCACAAUGGGGCAACCCUGAUGGAGCAAUACCGCGUGCAGGAUGAAGCGUUUCGGCGUGUAAACUGCUUUUAUCACCGAAGAUUAUGACUGUAGGUGAAGAAUAAGGACCGGCUAACUACGUG
rnacentral:rRNA from 1 species